rnacentral:lncRNA from 10 species
CUGCAUUAAGGAAAUGAAGCUACCUCUCUAGGGGGAAGAGAAGUAAUAAUAAACAUUCCUCUCGAGAUCACACACCUCCGCCUGCACGGGGACAGCCACAGCGCACGCCUGGUUCAGCUUCUGUCUUCCCUCAGCUGAGGCGCUGGGACUUUGGCUGUUUCUAUUUGCAUCCUGAAUAGCAUCAACACAGUAAAAUGCACGUUUUGUUGCUGCCUAAACUGCUGCUGUACUCUCCAAACACAAAACCGCGUCGUGGGAAGGUGGAGAUGUGGCUGCUUCUGCAGCAUCCCGUGUUAGAGAAACAGAGCCUGAGAAUGAGACACAUCAUUGUCAAAAGAAGCUUCUUCUUUUCUUCACACAAGGGAUGAUUAGAUGCUUAGUAUCUGUUGCAAAAACUGAGAAAAUCAAAACUUCUAAAAAUUUCCUUUCAAAUUUCUUUAUGAUCCAAGAUGAUACCUAAUUGCAUAUUUUCCAAACAUUCAUUUUUCCAAAAGUAGAAUGGGUGAAAUUCCUUAUGAAAGAAACCCUCAAUAGUCUGUUUUUUUUUGUUUUGUUUUGUUUUUCAUUUCUAGUUUUAGGCUACAGUGAUAACGUAGGACCCUUUUUAAAAAAAAUUAAGACCAAAGCCGGGCGCUGUGGCUCACGCCUAUAAUCCCAGCACUUUGGGAGGCCGAGGCGGGUGGAUCACAAGGUGAGGAGAUUGAUACCAUCCUGGCUAACACGGUGAAACCCCGUCUGUACUAAAAAUACAAAAAAUUAGCCGGGCGUGGGGUGGGCACCUGUACUCGGGAGGCUGAGGCAGGAGAAUCCCUUGAAUCCGGCAGGUGGAGGUUGCAGUGAGUAGAGAUUGUGCCACUGCACUCCAGCCUAGGCAAUAGAGCAAGAAUCGGUCUUAAAAAUAAAUAAAAACAAAAAUAAAAAAUUAAGACCAAAAUCAGCAGUAUCACAGUAUCAUUCAUCAAAUGUAGGAGGUGGCAAGAUUUUAGCUCUGCCAUCCAUGGCUUAGGAAAGAUCAUUACAGAUAAACUCCCUGUUUUCGAUUUAUUUAUGACUUGUUAUUCAUUUUGUGUAUUUUUUUGUUGUGAGUAAAAUAUCAGCAAUUCCUGAAAAUACUCCAAAAAAUUACAAAGGAGUAUAGGAGAAUGAUUUCACAAUCAGACUGUAUUUAAGAAAUAGGAAUAGAAUCUCAUGGUUUGGAUUUAUUCUCUGCAGCUUUAUUAUAUAUUACACAUCUUUCGCAUUACUAGCCUGUUGUCGACAUACAUGGAGCUCCACCCCAUACUAAAAUAUGUCUCAAUGUGUGUUUUUUAACCCAUCUCUUGGGAGAGUAAGGCUGUAUAAAAUGUUGUUGCCCUUGAAUUUGAACAGAGUAGCUUCAUGUCAACACAGCAGAGCAUUUAUUUCUUAGAAUCAGGAACACCCGUUUCCAUCAGAGAUGUUCUGCCCUCUCCCAGAAGUGGCCGGGAUAAAGUUCUUUCCCCCAUUUCCAUCCUGCUGCUCUCACUUCUCCAUGAAUAAAUUGCCCCUUGUGUCUAUCUCAUGCAGCAGCAGAUCUCCCUCAAGGUGCGAUAAGUACAGAAUUAGCUUCUGAUGACCGGUACAAAAUAGUUUUUAUGAUUUGAAUGGAAUGCAGUUCAUCUUCUGAUACUUGUUUGGAAGGUGGAAGGUGUAUUUUCAGAGAUUGUAUUGCAGGGUGAAUCUAGUGCAGUGAGUUGCGAAUUUGCUUCUCCAGGGGGUAAAGAUCAUGUGUCAGACUUAAAUUGUCUCCGAGAAAAGGUCAAAUAACUUGAUCUCUUCUCCAAUAACACUGAUUUGACCUAAGACUUUCUAGUUCUCGUGGGCUUGGUUUUGAUCACUGGUUCACAAAGAAAAGCAUUGCAUGGUUCUGUUUAAUGGUUCAUGAUUUACUUUGUAUAUGUAGUAUGGCCUAUACGUAAUAGUAAUGUUUAGUGUUUAAUGAUUCAUGAUUUACUUUGUAUAUAUAGUAUGGCCUAUACAUAACAGUAAUGUUUAGAGAAUUUUGACUGGGGCAUCUAUUCAAUUAUUUGAUUUGGCAUAAUUUUUUUAACUAGAA